rnacentral:lncRNA from 1 species
CUCCAUUAAACCACCACCAGCUCCCCAAGCCACCCCUUCAGCCAUGAAGUUCCUGCUCCUGGUCUUGGCAGCCCUCGGAUUCCUGACCCAGGUGAUCCCAGCCAGUGCAGGUGGGUCAAAAUGUGUGAGUAACACCCCAGGAUACUGCAGGACAUGUUGCCACUGGGGGGAGACAGCAUUGUUCAUGUGCAACGCUUCCAGAAAAUGCUGCAUCAGCUACUCCUUCCUGCCGAAGCCUGACCUACCACAGCUCAUCGGUAACCACUGGCAAUCAAGGAGAAGAAACACACAAAGGAAAGACAAGAAGCAACAAACGACCGUAACAUCAUAAUAACCACUGCUAUCGCCUCCACCAACUCAGAGAAAUAUCAUUUCCACAGUUCCAAUUCCUCCUACAUUGCUGAGUACUAGCCAAGGCUCCUCUUUAUGGGGCAGAUAUCUAUAGCCAACCCCAAAACUUCUGUCUUCUAUCAUUCUGUCAUUCAUCUAGUAACUAAUUUGGAGUUUGUAUCUAUCUUACGAGAACAAUCAUCAUGCAGAUUCGUCCACAGGGGAUCUGUCAGUUUGGGUCCUCCAAAUGAAAAAUGUCAAGACAGAAUUGGACAUGCAAAAGAUUGACUGGGAGAACACACCUCUGAUGGACAAAGGUGAGACAGAGCAGCCACAGGCAGGGAGAGCCUUCAGACUGCAACGCUGGCCUGAUACGUGUCAAAGGAGAGAGGGAUAGAGGAGGAUUGAAUAGAAGGAGACUAAGACUGCAGCUCUAAGAAAGUCUCAGCCAAACAGAUGGGGAGGCCCAAAGCAAGGCUUGCCCCUCAGAGGAGCUCACGCAGGGCAGGAAUAGCCAGGUUCUCAUAUCCCAGGGGUUCAGACUUUGGCUGAGAACAGCCCCUGGAGAACAUGGGGUGACUGCUACCAUAGGUCUGGAAGUAUGAGGCUGUCCACCAACUAUCCCCUUGAAGCAAGUUCUCUUGAAAGGAAAUCUAAACAGUGCACCCCCAUGGCUGCCACGGAGUAUAAGGAGGGAGAGAAAGGAGCUGAAAGUCUAGGUUUGGCCAGCUAGGUAGACUGACUUGUGAGGUAUUUAUUUAUUCAUUUGAGUAACAAAGCAGACAGAAUACAUAGCCACCAUUGGUAGUACACCCCAAAAGCAAGGAUGGCAUGAUGCUGGUGACUCAAACGUGCCUACUCAUGGUGUCAAAUUGGCAUAAUCCUCUUGGGAAGCUGUGUGGAAAUAAGCACAGAGAAGCAGAACUCUAAUUGCUUAAUCCACUAAACAUUACUUCUGGGAAUUGGCUCAUCAUAAAUUAUCCAAGAGAAGCACAAAGUUAUGGGCACAAAGGUUUUCCAUAUAAUAUUAUUUAAAAUGCUGAGAAAAUGAAAAAAUCUAAAUGGUGAAAUAUAUACUAAUGCCAUCUAUAAAUACAAACAAAUAGAAUGUUUAUAGAAUAAUGGAACAUAAUAACAUUAUUCAAAAUUGCAUUUAUGCUAUAGUUGUCAAAAUUGUCUCCUUAUAUGAUACAAAACUCAUGAAAAUUAUGACUUUUUUGUUUGGUUGGAAAGCAGAAUUAUGCAUAAAUUUCCUCUUACAGUUCGAUGCCCAUUAGUUUUAUAUAACAUUUAUUUGACACGUACUGACUUCUAUCUGAGAAGAACAAACCAAAACACUCAGGCCUAAAUAAUUAAAAACGGUCCUAAAAACUAGCAAACCAGAUAAGAAAAGAUGUUAAUGCCCAUUCCCUAACUUAUGUCUUAGACCAAAAUUAAUUCUAGAUGGUUUUAAAAUGACAGUGUAAAAGUAAAGUAUUAAAAGAUUGUGUGGUCAAAUAUUCAAUUUAAGAGCAAGGAAAUUCUUAUAAAUAUAACAAUAGAGGCAGAACUCAUGUAAGAAUAAAUUGAUUAGGUGGUAUUAAAUAUUAAGUUCUUAUGUAUGUCAAAAGAUAUCAUUUUGAAAUUCAUCCAUCUUAUUGGGUAUUGCAGGAGUUCAUUCCUUUUUGUUUAUAAAUACUCUUCCGUCAUAUGAAUAGUAUUCAUUUGUAUACUGGUUUGUUGAUGGACAUUUGGGUUGUUCCCAGUUUAUGGCUAUUACAAAUAAAGCUUCUAUGAACAUUUAUGUACAAA